rnacentral:misc_RNA from 1 species
GAUGAAGAACGUAGCGAAAUGCGAUAAGUAAUGUGAAUUGCAGAAUUCAGUGAACCAUCGAAUCUUUGAACGCACAUUGCGCCCGGCAGUAAUCUGCCGGGCAUGCCUGUCCGAGCGUCAUUUCUACCCUAGAGCGAGUCCAGCAUCUAGGUGCUGGGCCUCGCCCGGCGUUGGAGCACUACGGGAAGCCCUGUGCUGUCCCCCGUAGGCCCCGAAAUGAAGUGGCGGUCCUGCCGCGGCGCCCCCUGCGUAGUAUAACAGCUCGCUUCGGGACCCGGUGGAGGCCUGCCGUCAAACCUAUACUCUCUAAGUUUGACCUCGGAUCAGGUAGGGUUACCCGCUGAACUUAAGCAUAUCAAUAAGCGGAGGA